rnacentral:lncRNA from 1 species
AAUCGCUUACGGCAGUGUGUGACAGUGGAAGUAGACAUUUUUGAAAAUUUAUGAAACUGGUGCUGCGUCAGUUUCAUAAUUUUUGAAAAAUACAAUUGGUAUUUGUAUUAUAUUUGUAAAUGAUAAAUGAACAAAAAGAAUAUGAAAAUUACAAUAAAAGAUUUGAAAAAAAUGCCGAAAAUACAAAAUAAAACAAAAGUUGGUAAUGAAAUAGGUAACAGAACGGGUAUGAAUAUAAACAGGCAACUGGAAACCGCAAUAACACGAAUAAAACAGGCAGCAACACAUGUUUCCUGUCACUGCAAAAUUUCAAACAAACAAAACUCGAAUAUUUUCGUUUGGUUUACAGUUUACGCGAAAAUUACGCGAAUCUUCUCCG